GAUGAACGCUAGCUACAGGCCUAACACAUGCAAGUCGAGCGACCGGCGCACGGGUGAGUUACACGUACACAACCUGCCCUUUACUCGGGGAUAGCCUUUCGAAAGAAAGAUUAAUACCCAAUAUAAAGGGUGGGGAUGCGUUUCAUUAGGGUGUUGGUAAGGUAACGGCUCAACAAGCCUUCGAUGGCUAGGGGUUCGGAAAGGAAGGUCACCCGCAUUGGAACUGAGGCACAGUCCAAACUGGUACGGAGGGCAGGAGAAGGUAAUAUUGUGCAAUGGGCGCUGGCCUGGACCAGCCGAGUGGCGUGAGAAGUGAAUGGUUAUGAGUCGUAUACUUCUUUUAUAGAAGGAUAGGUAUUAUAUGAAUAAGGAUCGGCUAACUCCGUGCCAGCCGCCGCGGUAAUAC
rnacentral:rRNA from 1 species